CACAAUCCUUCUGGAUACCUGGGCGCUCUCAGGCCCUUGGCAUCUGGCCCCUCCCCUCUAGGGUGAAUUGUUUUCAAAGAUUUAUAGUUCGUAUCCUAGACUGGGAAGAGAGAGGGACAAGGGAUACAGGAACUGGCAAAUUCCUCCCGCCUCAGUCGGCAAGAAAGGCUAUCCAGUGUCCCCAGCUUCGCUGGCCUUCAUGAAGCGGGCCCUGGUGCGCAGGCUCCGGAAGGGAGGGCGUGGGAAGGAGAGCCGACGCUGGAUAGCCGUGGGCCAGUGAGCAGGCGCUGGGCAUUUGCUGGGCUUCCACUCGUGCUAGUCUGCAACUGAGGCUCCGACACGAGAGAGUACCCAAGUUUGUGGCACAAGCGUGUACUGGGCACCUGCCCUGUGGCAGGCACCAUGAAGUUCCUGGGGUAGAGAGAAUCCAGUUUCUUAACUCUAUCACUCAGCUUGAAAUGCUGUG